UCUCUCUCUGCCCCUCCCCUGUUCAUGCUCUGUCUCUCUCUGUCCCAAAAAUAAAUAAACAUUGAAAAAAAAAUUAAAAAAAAAAAAACAUUUUGCAGCAGUAUUCUCCAAAUAGCAGUCAUUCUGUGAUUUCAUUAUAUCCAAACACACAAAUACAAACUUAGUGCAUAUUUAUAGAGCACUGAAUGGGUAAUAACAGCCCAUUACUAUUUUCACUAUGCCUAUUAUUGUACCUUCCUACUAAAAUAACACUGAAACACUUUCCCUCCAAAGGGAAAGGUUUUCUUUUCUUUUUUCUUUCUUUCUCUUUCUUUCUUUCUUUCUUUCUUUCUUUCUUUCUUUCUUUCUUUCUUUCUCUUUCUUCUUUCCUUCCUUCCUUCCUUCUUUCUUUUUCUUUUUUACAUGGGUCACUUGGAGCAGUUAUUGAAGGCAUUGUUUCCCCCAUUUUGCAUGUGAACAAACCGAGGCACAGAUUUGUUUCACAAAAUGCCUCCUUUCCAAUGUUGCAACCGAGUGGAGAUCAGAACCCGAGGAUGCCCUCUCUCCCGUCUUCUUUCUUUUUCCACGCGCCAGUGUAGGAAGUUUGCACAGAGUGAUUGAUACAAACGAGCCAGAGCUGACCAAUGUGUAAACUGAUCGGUGCUUAUGUGUAACGCUUUGAAUUGCCACAAUUAUUUCUGCACAUUGGGCCUGCCUUAAAUGUGGAAUCCGCUAUUCCAACAUCAGUUCCCUUUUUUUUUUUUUUUUUAGUUCCCGGCAGGGUAAUUGCCUCUCCUUCCGUAGCGCGCAGCUGCCAGCUGCCCGGCUGCCCUGGGAGCUUUGAAGUGGAAGGCGCACCACGGCUUUUCUAAACGCCGCUCAUGCGCGCGCUGGAGAGGAGGGCGCUGGGUCAUCCUCAACCUCAUCCACCUCCCGAUCCCGUUCUUCUUUAAAAAGCCAGGUGGCGCCAACUCUCAACCCCUGCUAGAGCUGGAGGAUCUUCCAGCCGCGCGCAGGGGGGGAGGAGAGUUGGAAGAAGGGCACCACCUCAGGCCCGCUCUUUCGCUCUGCGCCCUCGGCUCUGCGGCAAGGGACACGUGCUUUUCUCUUCUUCCGCACCCCUCGCAGGAUGACGGCAAGCCUAAAGGGAAACGAGGUGUCCUGUGUGCCACAUGGAGCUCGGGGAACGGAAAUAAUUAAAGCCAUGAGGUUUCCUGGCUCUACGCGGUGUUUACGAUUGCUAUAGAGCACACCUCUGGACCUCCGCCGUCCCCAGAUAGCAGUUUCUACACGGCUAACUCAGAACAGACCAGAGCUAGCGCUUUGGGACACUGGAUGCCUCUCAUGCCCCAAGCGAACAUUCGGGACAGUCGCAUCCUCGCGUUCUCCCAGGGGCGUCUCUAAUUCCCAGGAGGCUGAAUGCCUGCAGUGCCGGACGCGGCCUACCCACCAAGCUGCACAAGCGCGCCCGUCGGCUCCCAGCUUGGGCUGUGGUUGCUGAGACACAGCCCUGCCUCAGUAGGCCCUUUGAAGAGAUGCGUAUUCAAGUCCUGCAGCUUCGGGGUUGAUGUGUCCCUCACCCUCAGAGGCCCCACUUUGGCUGACAUUCAGCCUACCUCUGCGAACGACCCCUAAAAUCGGCUCUGCCGCUAACCAGAAGCAAGGCCGUUUCUAUGGUGAAAGAACCAUCGCCUCACGGAAAAUUGCCUUUGCAAUUUUGCAAAAUUGCAUUUUGCAUUGAUAAUAACUACCAAUGAGAGUUUAAGAUUUUUUUCAGAAGCCCAAAUGUGUGGUGCGUGUGAUGUGUGGUAAGAGUUUCGAAGAUCGAAUAUAUUUGACAUCUCAAUUGCCUUUUGACGAGUGGAGAAUGGGCAUCCUGAAAACUGACCAAAGAAGGAGAAACCAUUUGGCUUCAUUUUCUCAUUUUAAAUAUACUUCCUUUGUCAAAUGACUCCCUUAACUAAUAAGGGAAACCAUCGAGGGCAAUGUAGUUCAUCUUUAUUUGGAAUUUCAGAAAAGCUAAUGUCCCUAAUGUCUUCUGAACUUUUCAAAGGACCUUUUGCUGUCUAGUUUUGUCUUUUUUUUUUUUAAUUUUAAUUUUUAUUCAUUUUAUGUGUUUUUUUUUAAGAGAGUGUGUGUGCAAGAUGGGGGGAGGGGCAGAAAUUGAGAGAGAGAGAGAGAGAGAGAGAGAGAGAGAGAGAAUCCCAAGCAAGGUCCUCACACAGUGCAGGGUCCCAGCUUGGGGCUGGAUCUCACUACUGUAAGAUCAUGACCUGAGCUGAAAUCAAGAGUCAGGCGCUCAACCGACUGAGCCACCCAGGCGCCCGUGGCCUCAUCUUGGUUAAAGAUGUUAGAGCUGUGUUGAGGUUGAUAUCAACAAUCAGAAAGUAAUAUCAUGGUUCUGGUUGUCAUUAUCCUGUUUAGACACGCUAGAACUAGAUUGCCUGUGUUAAAACUUAAUGGACUAGAGAAGCAUCCAGAAUCUUAAUGAUGGGGGCUUCCACUCUCCAGGCAUCUGCCAGAUGUCUCAAUUUCUAAACUCACAACAUCUGAUAAAUCCAUGAUUUGCCUCACUCAGUGUUCUCAGCCCUGGCUGCACAUUAGAAUAAUCCCAGAAUUAAAAUUGUUUUUUUUGAUAGGGAGGCUCCACCCAUUCUAAUUUAGUUAAAGCAGAAUUUCUCAGGGUAGGUCCCCAGACUUCUUUUUUAAGUACCCCCAAAUGAUCUGAACGUGCAGCCCGGUUGAGAAUCACUAACCUGCACGAUAAUUUCAUCUUUCAGAAGGCAGAGGAAGUGAUGAGGAUUAACACCCUGCUUCUAAUUCUGGCCGACUCAGAGGCCCUGUGUGGAAAAUCAGAAGUGACAGGAAUCCUGGAAGAGGGCCACCUGGCCAUCAGAAAAUUCCAGAGGGAUGUGGUCACUGCCAGACACACACUCGGUCAGAAGACAUGAGUGAAAAAAUACCAGCAACCAAACAUGGUGGUAUCAAGCCUAAUUAGGAAUAAAAAAAACCACAUUUCUAAAA